UACGGAGGAUCCAAGCGUUAUCCGGAUUUAUUGGAUUUAAAGGGUGCGUAGGCGGAACGAUAAGUCAGUGGUGAAAGCCUGCAGCUUAACUGCAGAACUGCCAUUGAUACUGUCGAUCUUGAGUACAUUUGAUGUGGGCGGAAUGUGUCAUGUAGCGGUGAAAUGCUUAGAUAUGACACAGAACACCGAUUGCGAAGGCAGCUGGCUACGCAUAUAUUGACGCUGAGGCACGAAAGCGUGGGGAUCAAACAGG
rnacentral:rRNA from 1 species